GUCGGGGAUAACAGUUGGAAACGACUGCUAAUACCGGAUGUGCCUUCGGGUGAAAGAUUUAUUGCCUGGAGAUGAGCUCGCGUCUGAUUAGCUAGUUGGUGGGGUAAAAGCCUACCAAGGCGACGAUCAGUAGCUGGUCUGAGAGGAUGAGCAGCCACACUGGGACUGAGACACGGCCCAGACUCCUACGGGAGGCAGCAGUGGGGAAUUUUCCGCAAUGGGCGAAAGCCUGACGGAGCAAGACCGCGUGAGGGGGGAAGGCCUUUGGGUUGUAAACCUCUUUUGUCAGGGAAGAACAAAAUGACGGUACCUGACGAAUCAGCCUCGGCUAACUCCGUGCCAGCAGCCGCGGUAAUACGGAGGAGGCAAGCGUUAUCCGGAAUCAUUGGGCGUAAAGCGUCCGUAGGUGGCGAAGUAAGUCUGCUGUCAAAGACCACAGCUUAACUGUGGAAAGGCAGUGGAAACUGCAGCGCUAGAGUGCGGUAGGGGUAGAGGGAAUUCCAGGUGUAGCGGUGAAAUGCGUAGAGCUCUGGAAGAACACCGGUGGCGAAA
rnacentral:rRNA from 1 species